GACGACCGCUGGCGGCGUGCUUAACACAUGCAAGUCGAGCGGCGCGGCGAACGGGUGAGUAACGCGUGAGUAACUGCCCCCCUCUCUGGGAUAACAGUUGGAAACGGCUGCUAAUACCGGAUAGUGGGGGAUGACUCGCGGCCUAUCAGCUUGUUGGUGGGGUAGUGGCCUACCAAGGUGACGACGUGUAGCCGGCCUGAGAGGGGGGCCGGCCACAUGUGGCUGAGAUACGGCCCAAUCUCCUACGGGAGGCAGCAGUGGGGAAGAUUGCCCAAUGGGGGAAACCCGGAUGCAGCAACGCCGCGGGCGGGAGGACGGCCUUCGGGUUGUAAACCGCUUUCAGCCAGGACGCGGUAGUGGCAGAAGAAGCACCGGCUAACUACGUGCCAGCAGCCGCGGUAAUAC
rnacentral:rRNA from 1 species